UGGGGAAUAUUGCACAAUGGGCGCAAGCCUGAUGCAGCCAUGCCGCGUGUGUGAAGAAGGCCUUCGGGUUGUAAAGCACUUUCAGCGGGGAGGAAGGCGUUAAGGUUAAUACCUUUGCUCAUUGACGUUACCCGCAGAAGAAGCACCGGCUAACUCCGUGCCAGCAGCCGCGGUAAUACGGAGGGUGCAAGCGUUAAUCGGAAUUACUGGGCGUAAAGCGCACGCAGGCGGUUGAUUGAGUCAGAUGUGAAAUCCCCGGGCUUAACCCGGGAAUUGCAUCUGAUACUGGUCAGCUAGAGUCUUGUAGAGGGGGGUAGAAUUCCAUGUGUAGCGGUGAAAUGCGUAGAGAUGUGGAGGAAUACCGGUGGCGAAGGCGGCCCCCUGGACAAAGACUGACGCUCAGGUGCGAAAGCGUGGGGAGCAAACAGG
rnacentral:rRNA from 1 species